UGCCCAGCAAUUCCUAUCCCUACCUCCUCGUGGUACUGGCCGGGGUACGAGUAACCUUGGGGAAGAUCGGGUAACCAACCCCCGGUGGGAACUUUGGUCGUAUGCUGACAGGGAAGG
rnacentral:ribozyme from 1 species